ACUGGUUUAGUGUGGAGAGGAGGUGGGUACUGGUUUAGUGUGGAGAGGAGGUGGGUACUGGUUUAGUGUGGAGAGGAGGUGGGUACUGGUUUAGUGUGGAGAGGAGGUGGGUACUGGUUUAGUGUGGAGAGGAGGUGGGUACUGGUUUAGUGUGGAGAGGAGGUGGGUACUGGUUUAGUGUGGAGAGGAGGUGGGUACUGGUUUAGUGUGGAGAGGAGGUGGGUACUGGUUUAGUGUGGAGAGGAGGUGGGUACUGGUUUAGUGUGGAGAGGAGGUGGGUACUGGUUUAGUGUAGAGAGGAGGUGGGUACUGUUUUAGUGUGGAGAGGAGGUGGGUACUGGUUUAGUGUGGAGAGGAUGUGGGUACUGGUUUAGUGUGG